GACAGAGGGUGCAAACGUUGUUCGGAAUUACUGGGCGUAAAGCGCGCGUAGGCGGCAGCGUGUGUCGGGCGUGAAAUCCCACGGCUCAACCGUGGAAGUGCAUCCGAAACUGCAUCGCUGGAGUCUCGGAGAGGAAGGUGGAAUGCUUGGUGUAGAGGUGAAAUUCGUAGAUAUCAAGCAGAACACCUGCGGCGAAGGCGGCCUUCUGGACGAUGACUGACGCUGAGACGCGAAAGCGUGGGGAGCAAACAGG
rnacentral:rRNA from 1 species